UUAUCCAAGUGCCCAAAUUCCUUCUCCAACCUUUUCUUUCUCUUAUUUAUUGCUUUGCUAUUUGCUAUUUUUAUAAAUAAAAAGAAAUGAGAAAGAGAGUAGGAGAGAGCAGCCCAGCAGGCCCCUGGCCGUUUUCCUCUCCACUGGGCCGGCCUCCCAAGGCCCAGCCGCCCCUCCUAACCCUAGCACACCCCUGGCAUCUCCCUCAUCUCCCUCCAGGCUGCCGCUCACGCACGCAUCAAGCCAUGAGGCCGCGAUCGAUCCCCUUUUCCCUCUCUUCAAUCUCCCUUGCAGCGCCCCAGUCCGCUCGAUCCCCUGUCUCUCCUGCCAUUUCCCUCGACCCUCUCCUCUGGUUCUCCUAGUGCAGGCAGAGGGGCCGCGCAUCGUGCCUGAUCCAUGGUCUUCCCCUUCCUCUCAUCGCGGUUCUCCUCGCUGAACCUCCCCGAGCUGGAGCCUCCACCUCCGUCGCCAUGGCGCUGCGGCCCUGUCGCUUCCCUGCCUCUCUGUUGCGCUAGGGACUCGAGCCCUCCACCAGCAGGUGCACUGCUCCAACCCACGCCUCAGGCGUCCUUGCCGUCGUCGUCGCCUAGCCAGGAGGCCACCUGAUCUGGACGCCCACAGACCUCCGGCCAUCUUCGGUUGCAGCCCGCUGGCCUCGUUGCUCCUCUUGUCACUGCCAAGACGCGGCAGCCAGGGAGCCCAAGACCGCCUUCGUGGUUUUCGCCAAGUUCGUCCACCGCCAAAUGAGUUGGAGAUCCAUUGAUGCAUCUCCAUGUGGAACCUAACAAGUACAACUGGUUUCCCCAAGCAACACACCGCAAGUGCCAAGUACCUCUGCCGACGGCCCCGAACAUGUACGAAAUGUGUACCACUACGCGGGAUUCCUCGGACGCCAAGUUCCACGAUGUGUCAAGUUCCUCGCCGUGACCCCGAACAUCUACAGAAACUCGUGCAAUUAUGAACGCAAACGACUACCGUAGACCCCAAGUUACUCGUAUUCUCCAAGUUCCUCUUCGAAACAUGUACCACUACCAUCGCCAAUAUCGCGAGUACCUCUACUGUCGUCAUGUACCCCUACUUCCACUACCGUCGCGAGAACAACUACUUCCUCUAUGAACUCGAACCGCUCUAAGAAUGCUCCCUUGGAAGGUAUAACCGCCGGAACAACACCCGUGGACUAAUGCUUGUGAUGUGUUGUAUGA